rnacentral:rRNA from 1 species
GUCAUAUGCUUGUCUCAAAGAUUAAGCCAUGCAUGUCUCAGUGCAGGCCUUUACACGGUGAAACCGCGAAUGGCUCAUUAAAUCAGCUAUGGUUUAUUGGAUCGUACCCGUUAAAUGGAUAACUGUAAUAACUCUAGAGCUAAUACAUGCCUCGAUGCCCUGACUCUCCGGCUGCUACUGUCUCUCGUGGUGGUGGUGGUGGUGUGGAGAGGAAGGGUGCACUUAUUAGAUCAGAAGCCAACCUUGUGUAGUCUGUGCGGCGGCGUGUCGCCCGAAACGGCGGUGGCUGCGGCAGACUAUGCAUGCUGACCUUCUGGUGACACUGGAUAAUUGUUACAGAUCGCAGUCGGCCUUAGUCGGCGACGGGUCCUUCAAAUGUCUGCCCUAUCAACUUUCGAUGGUAGGUGACCUGCCUACCAUGGUGAUAACGGGUAACGGGGAAUCAGGGUUCGAUUCCGGAGAGGGAGCCUGAGAAACAGCUACCACUUCCAAGGGAGGCAGCAGGCGCGCAAAUUACCCACUCCCGGACGGGGAGGUGGUGACGAAAAAUACCGAUGCGGGACUCCUAAAAGAGGCUCCGUAAUCGGAAUGAGUGGACUAUAAAUCCUUCACGAGGAUCCAUUGGAGGGCAAGUCUGGUGCCAGCAGCCGCGUAACUCCAGCUCCAAUAGCGUAUAUAAGUUGCUGCAGUUAAAAGCUCGUAGUUGAUCUCGGUAGUAUUGCCACCUGCUGAUUAAUGUGCAGGCAGUUGCGUAGGAGUGUAGCCGUGCGUGUCGGCUCAGCGGCUUAAGGCAUGCUGUGCAGGCAAUCGUACGGACUUCGCCUUAUGGCUAUAGCUGUCUGUAUUCUAUCGGCGCGGUGGCGGUGUCACCUUUAAGCCAUGUCUGUAGUGAGAUACCUACAGGUGUGGGCGGGUGUCAGGCGAUACCCCACACUCGUGGGACUUGUCGGCUCGUUCGCAUGCCUCUGGAUGCCCUUCAAAAGGUGUCUUAGGGCGGAUGGCACGUUUACUUUGAACAAAUUUGAGUGCUCAAAUCAGGCCGAUGUNNNCUNNNAAGUUUNGACUGNNAUANUGNNAUAGNACUNCNGNUCUAUUUCGUUGNUUUUCNGAUCCGAAGUAAUGAUCAAAAGAGACAGGCGGGGACGUUUGUAUGGCUGCGCUAGAGGUGAAAUUCAUGGACCGUAGCCAGACAAACUAAAGCGAAAGCAUUCGUCAAGCAUGUUUUCAUUGGCCAUGAGCGAAAGUCAGAGGCUCGAAGACGAUCAGAUACCGUCCUAGUUCUGACCAUAAACGAUGCCAACUGGCGAUCCGUGGUGGUAGUCAUUUAACCUUCCCCACGGGCAGUCCCCGGGAAACCUUUAAGUCUUUGGGUUCCGGGGGAAGUAUGGUUGCAAAGCUGAAACUUAAAGGAAUUGACGGAAGGGCACCACCAGGAGUGGCAGUGCGGCUUAAUUUGACUCAACACGGGAAAACUCACCCGGGCCGGACACUAUGAGGAUUGACAGAUUGAUAGCUCUUUCUUGAUUUGGUGGUUGGUGGUGCAUGGCCGUUCUUAGUUGGUGGAGCGAUUUGUCUGGUUAAUUCCGAUAACGAACGAGACUCCAGCCUGCUAAUUAGUGCAUCUGUCCACUGCACCUGCGAUGGUAGCAGUUGACGAAGCUGUUCCUAUAACAGCCUGCCAGGGGCUCUGGUGGUAGGUCCCGCUUCUCGCCGUUCGCCUUCUCCUGCCUAGGGUUGGCAGCACUAGUGUCUCUCUCGGGGGAUGCUGGUUGUUGCUCGGCCUCUAGCUCGCAGGGGUUUGGUGGUGAGGGGUGAGCCUCCUCCGCCCCUGGUAGGUACUGGGGAUGCGGCGGGUUCGGUGUUUAUCUCCGGGUACAUGCUUACUUCUUAGAGGACAAGCGGAGAAGCCGCACGAAAUAGAGCAAUAACAGGUCUGUGAUGCCCUUAGAUGUCCGGGGCGCACGCGCGCUACAAUGACGGUGGCAACGAGUCAGACCUUCUGGCCCGAAAGGGUUGGGCAAACUGGUCAAUCACCGUCAUGACAGGGAUCGGGGCUUGGAAUUGUUCCCCGUGAACGAGGAAUUCCUAGUAAGUGCAAGUCAUAAGCUUGCGCUGAUUACGUCCUGCCCUUUGUACACACCGCCCGUCGCUACUACCGAUUGAAUGGUUUAGUAAGGUAUUGGAUUAUGGUGUCUGCCGAGAGGUGGGUACCCGACCGGCGUUGAGAAGACGACCGAACUUGAUCAUUUAGAGGAAGUAAAAGUCGUAACAAGGUUUC